rnacentral:sRNA from 1 species
UAUAUGCAUGUGAAAGAGACAGAGCACA